rnacentral:tRNA from 1 species
GCCGCCGUAGCUCAGCCUGGGAGAGCGCCGGACAGCCAAUCCGGAUGUCCUGGGUUCAAAUCCCAGCGGCGGCA